rnacentral:rRNA from 1 species
CGCGUAGGCGGUUGAGUAAGUCAAAUGUGAAAUCCCCGGGCUUAACCUGGGAACUGCAUUCGAUACUGCUUAACUAGAGUAUGGUAGAGGGAAGUGGAAUUCCGGGUGUAGCGGUGAAAUGCGUAGAUAUCCGGAGAAACACCAGUGGCGAAGGCGACUUCCUGGGCCAAUACUGACGCUGAGGUGCGAAAGCGUGGGGAGCAAACA